GACAGAGGGUGCAAACGUUGCUCGGAAUUACUGGGCGUAAAGCGCGUGUAGGCGGGCCGGAAAGUCGGGCGUGAAAUCCCUGGGCUCGACCCAGGAACUGCACUCGAAACUUCCGGUCUAGAGUGGUGGAGAGGGAAGUGGAAUUCCUGGUGUAGAGGUGAAAUUCGUAGAUAUCAGGAGGAACACCAGUGGCGAAGGCGGCUUCCUGGACACCAACUGACGCUGAGACGCGAAAGCGUGGGGAGCAAACAGG
rnacentral:rRNA from 1 species